UACGUAGGGUGCAAGCGUUAAUCGGAAUUACUGGGCGUAAAGCAUGCGCAGGCGGUUCGGAAAGAGAGGUGUGAAAUCCCAGGGCUUAACCUUGGAACUGCACUUCUAACUACCGGGCUAGAGUACGUCAGAGGGGGGUAGAAUUCCACGUGUAGCAGUGAAAUGCGUAGAGAUGUGGAGGAAUACCGAUGGCGAAGGCAGCCCCCUGGGAUGAUACUGACGCUCAUGCACGAAAGCGUGGGGAGCAAACAGG
rnacentral:rRNA from 1 species